rnacentral:rRNA from 1 species
AGCGAACGCUGGCGGCAGGCCUAACACAUGCAAGUCGAGCGGAUGAAGAGAGCUUGCUCUCUGAUUUAGCGGCGGACGGGUGAGUAAUGCCUAGGAAUCUGCCUGGUAGUGGGGGAUAACGUUCCGAAAGGAACGCUAAUACCGCGUACGUCCUACGGGAGAAAGCAGGGGACCUUCGGGCCUUGCGCUAUCAGAUGAGCCUAGGUCGGAUUAGCUAGUUGGUGAGGUAAUGGCUCACCAAGGCGACGAUCCGUAACUGGUCUGAGAGGAUGAUCAGUCAAACUGGAACUGAGACACGGUCCAGACUCCUACGGGAGGCAGCAGUGGGGAAUAUUGGACAAUGGGCGAAAGCCUGAUCCAGCCAUGCCGCGUGUGUGAAGAAGGUCUUCGGAUUGUAAAGCACUUUAAGUUGGGAGGAAGGGCAGUAAGUUAAUACCUUGCUGUUCUGACGUUACCGACAGAAUAAGCACCGGCUAACUUCGUGCCAGCCGCCGCUGUAACAC